UGCCGACUGCCGACUGCCGGUGCCGCUUCAUCGCUGCAUGGUUCGCCCCCUCUCCUUCUCCUCCUGCAACUCCGGUGAAGUGCAAAUUGCUCAACCUCUCUUCAAUUUUUGCUUCAUCCGCCUAUCUUUCACUGGAUAGUUUUUUUGUAUCCCUAAUUCUAUGCUGGAGAUGGUUUAAAGGCGAUUCAUCGAAUUCGUGGAUGGAUUCUUAAUAGAUUAGGAUAUCAAAUUGAUAGGUUGCGGGAUUCAAUUUAAGAAUGUUGGUUUGCAGAUGCAAUUGGUACAUAUGAUCAAUUUACCAUUACGUACCUAGUUGCUUGCUAAAUUUAUUUACCCAAUUGUUAUUAUACGCAAUGAUGGAAGUGUUACUAGUAUGUUGUGCUUGGUUAAUUCCGUGACCCAAUCUUGUGUGUCGGAUCUCUUUAAUUUGCAUCACGUAAUAAUUCUAGGUUGGUUGCUUUCUUGUGUUGGUGGCCCAUCACUGUCCCAAUAAUGCUUGCAAUUUUAUAACUCAUCUCUGCAAUCACUCCUCUAAAGCACGGAUUAUUCUUUGCUAUGGCCACCCAAAAAAACGCCCCUACUGAGAUGCCCACAACGUUGGGUACCCAGAUAUUUGUACACAGCAUCCCUCCACCAUUGAUCGUCGCCGCGGCCCCUUCGUCUUCCUCUAUCGUCAAUCGUCAACCCCGACGCCGUCCCUAACCGCGGGAGUCCGAGACUGGCGUUCGCCGUGCGCCGCGCCCUGCGCGUGCGUGACCCGCGGCCUCCCCGCCGUUAGGGUUCGGGAAAGGGGUUCCGCGGCCGGCAUGCGCGGCCACCGCAUUCCGCCCCCGACUUCGAUCACCGCCCGCCGACGGCGUCCCGGACGACUUCGUGGAGUUGUUCGAUUUCAACUAUUGCAACGAAAAGUUUGUUUUGCAGCUCGCGAGUAAGGGGGAAGGAGCCGAUGGCGGCGGUGUCGAGCACUCGAGCAUCGGGAUCAUGGACAGCGCCUACUUCGCGGGGAGGGGCGAGAUCCUGCACUGGAUCAAUGCCACCCUCCAGCUCUCCCUCGCCAAGGUCGAGGAGGUCAGGCCCCUUUCUCAUCCCUAAUUUAUUGGGCCACGCUUGCUUGGUUCAAUUUGCCAGGUUAAGGGUUAGGGUUUGAUCUGUCCGAGAGUAUCGCGAUCUCUUGUUCACGCGCAAGAGGAUUGUGUGGUCUGGGAAUUGUUUGAUGUGUGGCGCGGUGCGGGAUUUUGUGCCGAUUGGUUGUUUGUUAUCCCUUUGCCGCAUGCUGCGUCGGGGGCGGUGCAGUGCCAGCUGAUGGAUAUGGUUCAUCCCGGAGUGGUACAGAUGCAUAAGGUUAACUUUGAUGCGAAGACUGAAUAUGACAUGAUCCAGAGCUACAAUAUUCUUCAGGAUGUGUUCAACAAGCUGUGCAUAAUCAUGCAAGCCAAUAUAUACAACGCAUCCUAUCCCAGGCUCCUCUCCGUCCUCGACGUUAUUUAUUUCAAGAACUUGGGAUGGCAUAUGCCAGUUUCAAAUUAGAUUACUAUGCUUCACCAGUUCUUGGAUUCGUUUCAUGGGGCCAACAAGCAGCUUCUUGAGCCGUCGUGAUUCUGCGGGCACCUUUUACAGCAAGUUGGGCUUGCUGUUUGGUCUGGUUUUCUAUAAAACAGCAUUGAACCUGUUGUACUUGUUUUUUUUAGGCUAACUUGUUGUACUUGUGAAUGCAUUCGGAUAUAGGAUUAAUCUCUGGAAUUCUAAAAAACAUCUAUGUUUACCAGCAACUUGUUGUACUUGUCAAUAUUGCUAUUGGAGAUCCCAAUGGUAAAUUAGAACAUGUGAACUAUCAAUUUUCAAGGAUUAAAGUCACAAACUACAUAGUAGAUGUAAAUGUAUUGGCCUGCAACUAAAUUUGUUCCUUGACCUGCUGGUUUAUAUAUUAGCACAUCAUUUAUCAUUUUGACUGUCUUGUAGGAACUCUCUGAUAUCAAAAGUUCACUCAAUAAUGAAAUAGAACAGCUUCAUUCAGAUUUCCAAGAGCUGAGGACAACCAUUAAGAAGGAAGUGGAUGGGAGAAUAAAAAUGUGGAUUUGUCAGCUAACUUAGGGAGCUUGAAAUUGAAUGAUGCUUCUGAAAAUCAUGAGGAAAGCAGAGGCACUGAGGAUGGCAAAGUAAUUGCUUUUACAUGGAUGACUAGAACAAAGUAGCAACAAGCACUCUUCUUUUGUCUGUUAUAGCGUUCAAAAGUUGGGUAGUGAGUAUUUUCCCAGUUCUAUGAAAAUUGAGUGUGCGCAAUCAUUUUCGAAAUUCACACAAUGGUAUCUAUGAAAACCUGAUUCAUUCGAUCCA